rnacentral:tRNA from 1 species
GCCUGGGUGGCUCAGUUGGUUAGGCAUCCGACUUUGGCUCAGGUCAUGAUCUCGCAGUUCAUGGGUUCAAGCCCCAUGUCAGGCU